AGUGAACGCUGGCGGCAGGCCUAACACAUGCAAGUCGAACGAGUGGCGGACGGGUGAGUAAUCCAUCGGAAUCUAGUCUGUCGUGGGGGAUAACGUCGGGAAACUGAAGCUAAUACCGCAUACGAUUGGAUGAGCCGAUGUCGGAUUGGUUAGUUGGUGGGGGAAAGGCUCACCAAGGCGACGAUCCGUAGCUGGUCUGAGAGGAUGAUCAGCCACACUGGAACUGAGACACGGUCCAGACUCCUACGGGAGGCAGCAGUGGGGAAUAUUGGACGAUGGGGGCAAGCCUGAUGCAGCCAUACCGCGUGAAUGAAGAAGGCCUUCGGGUUGUAAAGUCCUUUUGGUGGGGAGGCGUUAACCACAGAAUAAGCACCGGCUAACUUCGUGCCAGCAGCCGCGGUAAUAC
rnacentral:rRNA from 1 species